rnacentral:sRNA from 1 species
GCUUUUUGUGCUCUGUAUUGGGAAGGCAGAUAAAAUGCCAGGUCUGGACUGCCUCUGGGCAUAACCUCACCCUGUGGGAUGUGAAUGAAUAGCAUCUUGCCUGGUAAAUCCACAGGAAUUGAUAAGGCAGGCGCAGUUCUCCCAAACAGGCCUUUUCUCUUUAAGCUGUAGCUGUGGUUUCUGCAGCAAUUUUGUUUUUGCCUUGAAAGAGGUGCUCUGGAUUAUCAGACCUCCAUGUAUGACAAUUUGUACCUGCAUGGAAUUGAAGACUCGGAGGCUGAAGAAUAAUGUGAUGUGUUACCCAAGAUGGUGUGAACAGAGCUUCAAGCCAAUGGAGAAGACUAGGCCUAAAUAGCUGACCUGGUGAAGUGACACAUAAAGCCACACCUGGAGUGCCACCUCCUCAGCAGUCUUUCUCAGUGCCAAUGCAUUUAUGGCUGUAAGUGUGGGGGGUUGUCCAGAUGGAAGCAGAGCUCUCGGAACAGGUCUGGUGGAUAGGCGUGGAAAGGCUUUUCUCAGAUGGCCAGCUGCAGUCCGAGAAUAUAUAGGCACUAAAAGCUGAGUACGGCACUUCGGUUGGGGGUGGGGGUUGGGGAACCAUCCGCAUAUGUCCUACCGUUCUGUGCUGUUGAAAAUGUCUUUGUGGGGUGUGUGGGGGUUAACUUGUGAUAAGUGAUUAUUUUCAAUGUUUUCACACAGUAAGCUUGUAAUAAGAUCAUCUUGCCUAGGGACUAUUUUAUUCCGAAUAAGAAUAAAACAUUAUUAUACACUGUUAGCACCUCACAUCCCCACAGUAGGAGAGAGAUGUUGGUACUGUGAUGCAAGGCCUUUCUUAAGAGUUUGGUCCAAAAGUAGAUGUUAUGCUCCCAGUGCCCUAGAUUUUAGUUUGUAACCUCCGUGUUUCACAUACUCUAUAUGUGAAGAGAGAGGAAAAAGAAACAUGCCGAAACACACUUGAGUCAGGCAUUUUAGAUUCUUGAGUCCUGUGGAGCCUUUUUGGGCAAGUCCAUUAACUUCUGCUUUGGUGUCCAGGAGGGUAGUUAAGAAUCUGGAUUACAAGGAAGUGCAAAAGAUCAUUCAGUGCCCCACAGCAGGGCCCCGCUUCCGAAUAGGAGAUUUCACACAGAACGUCACCUUACUUCUUGUAUUACCUUGACAUAGAUGAUGGAGUGUGUGCUUCCAGAUGAACCCAUACCUAGCCCAGGCUGGUUCCAGUGGAUCAUGCACAUCGACUCUUCCUACAUUAGCUGCUAUAUAAGAGCUGCCUAUUCUACCUUCACUGUCCCCACUGUGUGUUAAUACAAGUUCUAGUGGCCAAGAUUUUUUUCAUGGACUGAGCCCCCCAUGUACACUAUACUAUGUGUUUUCAUCUGAUUUGCAGUAGAUUUCAUUAGACCUGCUCUUUAGUGUGUACGUGUAUUUCAUAAAUGGAUUCAUUGUGUAUUUUGAUGUUUGUGGAAUUAUUCUGGAAAUAGAUUUAUUUUUUCAUUCAUCAGGUUUAUUACACAAACUGAGGGAUAUUCUUAUGGGGAUCCAUGGACGCAGCAGAGAAAGUUACCAAAAACCUACCACCCAGAAAUAGUCACUGUUAAUAUAUUGCUACACACCCUUUCAGAUGGUCAAUCCACAUAUAUGUAAAUAGGUCAGUUUCAACCUGCUACUGUGUGUUGCACCCUAUUCUGUCAAAUGCUGUUCUUACUUGAGAAAAUGUUGAGCAUACUAGGACUAGAACUGGCCUGCACAGGAGACACUUUGCAAAAUUUAAAGCUCCUACGUGGACCUUCUGGAAUUGUGAGUAGCUUGAAAUACGGAUUCUUAGGGUAUAUUGUACAGUGAUGCUGGGGUUAGUUGCACAUAGGAGUAAUAGUUCAUUUCUCUGACACAAUUGCUUCCAUUUCCAAAUGCUUAAAUUCUAAAGCAUUUAGAAAGAGGGACCUGAUCUUUUCCUGUGAAAAAGAUGAUCAGAUCAUCAUUCAGGGCAAUUUCCAGAGAGGAAAAUAUAGGCUUUAAGUGUUUUCAAUCAUAGAAAGGAAUCAUAAUAUAUUGAUUAAUACUGUUAGAAAUUUUAUGUAUGUAAAAGUUACAGCAAAGUAAAUUUUACAAACUUAAUAUGUAUGUAUAACAAUAUCUGAGUGUAUAUAUAAAAGCACAUAUUUAAAUUUACAUGUACGUACACAUUAUUAUAAGAAUAGCUUUGUGUUAAACUAUUUAUUUUCUAUAAGCUGUGGAACUAUGUAUGUUUGUCUCAAUGUCUGUGCACCUCUGCAUGCAUGCGUACUGUUCACCCUCGUACCUUCACCUACAUUCAUAUACAGAUAUGUUCCAUGCAUCGCUAAUUGAUGGUUAAUGCUAAGUGGGAGAUUUCUACUGUGGAGCUUUUGGAGACGGAAAAUUAGCUGCUUUUGAUGUGAACAAAGAUACCCAAGAGAGUUGAAAGGCAAAGCAGCCUCAAGAGAAUAAAGGAUUGCUCCUUUCAAAGAUAUAGUAAAGUUAUUUUAAAUAUGAAGAUAUAUCCUUGUGCUUGCUAGGGAGGCGGAUAGACUUCAGACAGAAGGAUUAAUAUGUUUAGGGGCCUUCAGAAGACACUUUAGGGAUUUAAGGAUUAGAUUUCUUUUGGAAACAAGAAGGCCAGAGGUCUCUAUGGUUUGGUGGAUCAGAGCAUCUCUUCUGGAGUCAAAAAGUCUUUCUGGCCUAUUUAUAGAGAAUGAGGACUCAUCUGUAAGAGAAUCCAAGGACUGGAUGUUGGCAUCUCUGACCACAGAAGAAAACCAAAUGUUGCUCCUGGUUUGUGUAAGGAAUUUGACUGAGAAAAAUCAAGUUGUUUUACUCAGCUGAGCUAUGUUGGUGUUUGGCUAGGGUGUGUUAAGUAAAUGACAAACAGGGCUUUCUCUUCAAUCAGCAAUGAUGGUUUUCUAAAAUAUAUAUUGAAAUUAUUUCUAGAUAUAAUUGGCAUGGAGCCAAAGAGAGAAAUUCCUUGAAUCGAUCAGAUCCCAUGAAUUUGCUGUUCCAGCUUGUCAGUCUUGCUGCUUUCUUGUUAAUUUUCUAUUUUUGAGUCACAGAGGCAAGAAUUCGGAUCAAUCCUCGCCAGGUACUUCCAUGUCUCCUUUUCUGCUGCUGUUAUUAUUAUUAUUAGAUUAUGAUGAGUCAAUCCAGGAUUUUAGAAUAUGGCCUUGUGACUCCCUUUGUAUGUACUCAAUGGACAUUCCAUUAUUCUGUGGUGCAAGACAUUCUGUAAAAGGGUCAGCAAUAACCGUGAAAAACCAUUAUUUUAGGGUGAAGGUGGGGAGGCUUCCCAUUGCCUUAGCUCUUCUCUUUCUGUGGGGUUCAGCUUGGACCUUAUUUCUAUGUCAACAGUUCUCCCAUUCUGGUCACUGUCUCCCCUUUACUGUCUCUUACUCAGGUGAACAAGGCCACUUAAGGAGGACAAGAGGAUAUAACCGGACUGGUUAUCAUUGUUCAUUCUCUUCUCUUCCCUCUCCCACUAGUCCUUUAAAAUAAUCAUGAAGCCAUGAACUCAGAUAUCCAUGACAUUAAGUUAAAAAUUGUACCAAGGAAGCGCUACAGAUAUAGGCUAUGUGUUCUCAUCUACAUCGGCUGAUUUAGGGGCCUUUCAUGUGUUUGCAUCAGGCUCUGGCGGCUGUGAAAACAGCAACAGCUGUAACCUGCCACACUAGAAAAAAUACAUUCAUUGGGUGGAUCCCCGAGUUCUCACAGGAGGCUGGGGCACUGCCGUGUAAAGCUAGCGCCCGGUCCUCAGAACAACUUAGUGUGUAAAACCUAAGGGAGCUUACAGUUCAUAUAAAAUAAUGACAACUUUGAGCUUUUUAAGACUUUGAAGGGCGUGAGUCUAAGAUAAAACUGUGUGGCUAUUUUUACAGCAUGUAUUGGUAUGCCAAAAGAAGGUAGCCCAGAUAGCUCACGUGACAAUUUUUGAGAUCUAAAUAGACCACUACUUGCUCUUGCUCUGCAUUUUAUAUUCUUUUAUAACAUAACUAUAUAGUUUUAGUUAUAAAUAUUUUCCUCUCUUUUUAAAUGGUGCCACAUUAUCAGUACUUCCUGUGUCCUUUUUUUUCUUUUGUGUCUGUCAUGAGAAAUAUUGAAAAGUCUUAUAUUUAAAACAGGAUGUUUUCAAUUUGCUUUUAGCUUUUUCAUUCAGAGGAGUUGAUCCAAGGGAUCCACUCGGACACGGAGAUUGGCAACUGUCAAUUACUCAGGAGCUUGUCUGUGUAGUUUGUGGAAAAAAAAAAACAAGUUCUCUUAUUUUGCCUUUCUUAUGCCUGUUAUUCCUUAAUCUCUCUUUUCUUUUUAGCCUGAGCAUCAUAUAGGAAAAAGAUUCUGACCUUCUACGUUAUUACUCUAUUGGCAGCUUUGUUGAAAAGUUUGGUGAGUGAUAAGGUUGUAGCUGAAAUUGUUUCUAGAUCUUUUUAAAUUUCCAUAAGACUUAAAUUUUGCCUUCUAUUGGGCAUAUCUAUCAGCCAGGAAAAUUUCUGUUUUACUUUUUGUACUUUGUAUUAUGAAAAAAUGUUGUAGUAUAAUAGUGUCAUGAUUGAAAGUGGAGACAGACCAGGCGCGGUGGCUCACACCUGUAAUCUCAGCACUUUAGGAGGCACAGAUGGGCAGAUUGCUUGAGCUCAGGAGUUUGAGACCAGUCUGGGAAACAUGGCAAAACCCCACCUUUGCAAAAAAAUAAAAAAGAUUAGUGGGGCAUGGUGGCAUGUGCCUGUAGUCCUAGCUACUCAGGAAGCUGAGGCAGGAGGAUCGCUUGAGCCCAGGAGGUUGAGGCUU